UACGUAGGGUGCAAGCGUUAAUCGGAAUUACUGGGCGUAAAGCGUGUGCAGGCGGUUUUGCAAGACAGAUGUGAAAUCCCCGGGCUCAACCUGGGAACUGCAUUUGUGACUGCACGGCUAGAGUGUGUCAGAGGGGGGUAGAAUUCCACGUGUAGCAGUGAAAUGCGUAGAUAUGUGGAGGAAUACCGAUGGCGAAGGCAGCCCCCUGGGAUAACACUGACGCUCAUGCACGAAAGCGUGGGGAGCAAACAGG
rnacentral:rRNA from 1 species